AUUGGUGGUUAUAGCGUCGGUGGGGGAUAACACCUCUUCCCAUUUCGAACAGAGAAGCUAAGCCCGAUUGCGCCGAUGGUACUGCAAUAAAAUGCGGGAGAGUAGGACGCCGCCUCCC
rnacentral:rRNA from 1 species